CCAUGGGAAAAUCAUCCAUUCAACAAACAACCUUGCAAAAUACAGUAUAUUUCAUUUUGAAAAAUACCAACAAUGGCUGCCUCUUCAAUGGCUCUAUCUUCCCCAUCUUUCGCCGGACAGGCAGUCAGGCUCUCUCCCGAAAUCACCACCACCGGCAGGUUCUCAAUGAGGAAGACCGCCGCCAAGCCCAAGCCCGCCGCAUCCAGCAGCCCAUGGUACGGCCCUGACCGUGUCAAGUAUUUGGGCCCUUUCUCCGGUGAGGCACCUAGCUACCUCACCGGUGAGUUCCCCGGUGACUACGGCUGGGACACCGCCGGACUUUCUGCCGACCCCGAGACAUUCGCCAAGAACCGUGAACUUGAAGUGAUCCACUCCAGGUGGGCCAUGCUUGGUGCUCUUGGAUGCAUCUUCCCCGAGCUUUUGGCACGCAACGGUGUCAAAAUUCGGUGAGGCGGUCUGGUUCAAGGCCGGAUCUCAGAUCUUCAGCGAAGGUGGACUCGAUUACUUGGGCAACCCAAGCUUGGUCCAUGCUCAGAGCAUAUUGGCCAUCUGGGGAGUCCAGGUUGUAUUGAUGGGAGCUAUUGAGGGCUACAGAAUUGCCGGUGGGCCCCUCGGAGAGGUUGUUGACCCACUUUAUCCCGGUGGUAGCUUCGACCCAUUGGGUCUUGCUGAGGAUCCGGAAGCUUUUGCCGAGCUAAAGGUUAAGGAGCUAAAGAACGGGAGACUAGCAAUGUUCUCAAUGUUCGGAUUCUUUGUUCAGGCUAUUGUUACCGGAAAGGGACCGUUGGAGAACCUUGCCGACCACCUUGCCGACCCCGUUAACAACAACGCAUGGGCCUUUGCCACAAACUUCGUACCCGGAAAGUAAAUGAGUUUUCAGUGGGGAUAAUGGGAUUCCAUGUUUGUUCUUGCUUUUUUUUUUUGUGUGUGUAAAUGUGUGCUUGUUUUUCAAGCACUAAUUAAUGAGAGGCCUCUGGUGUAAAAUGGGUUUGAUUUAAUUGAAUGCAUUUAAGCUUUUGGUUUCUA